rnacentral:lncRNA from 1 species
GCAGCAGGUGGCGGCGGUGCAUGGGGCCUGGCCCCACCAGCGGGCACUGGCCCACAGCCACGGCCGGGGGGCCAUCUAGCUGGAGAGAGAAGGGACAGGUGUCUAUACACGCCCCGCGGAGCAGACGGCCCACCUCCUCCCGGUCCUCCGGGGAAGGGGACACAUGAGGGACUCACCUGUGGCUCCCUCUGCCUGCAGCAACUCCAUCCGCUCCUGCAACUGCCGGACGUGUGCCUCUAGGUCCCGGUUCCGAGCCUCUGCCUCGCGUAGUUGACUGUGGGGAGGAACAAAUCAGGAUUCCCACCUGCCCAAGGCCUUUGCCCUGGAGGCUCUCGCCUGACCACUUGGCACCUUUCCUUCCAUGGCUUGUUUCUCCUUCACCAGCGCUCAGCUCAAAGAUCGACUUCUCAGAUCCCCAGCAACACACACACCCUUACUUAAUGCCCCACUGUAACUACAGAGACCGUCCCAUGUCUGAAGUAA